UACGUAGGGGGCAAGCGUUUGUCCGGAUUUAUUGGGCGUAAAGAGCGUGUAGGCGGCCUGAAAGGUCAGCUGUGAAAACUCGAGGCUCAACCUCGAGACGUCGGUUGAAACCAUCUGGCUAGAGUCCGGAAGAGGAGUGUGGAAUUCCCGGUGUAGCGGUGAAAUGCGCAGAUAUCGGGAAGAACACCCGUGGCGAAGGCGGCACUCUGGGACGGUACUGACGCUGAGACGCGAAAGCGUGGGGAGCGAACAGG
rnacentral:rRNA from 1 species